rnacentral:rRNA from 1 species
GACGAACGCUGGCGGCGUGCUUAACACAUGCAAGUCGAGCGGUAAGGCCCUUUCGGGGGUACACGAGCGGCGAACGGGUGAGUAACACGUGGGUGACCUGCCCUUAGCUCUGGGAUAAGCCUGGGAAACUGGGUCUAAUACCGGAUAUGACUCCAUGACGCAUGUUGUGGGGUGGAAAGCCUUGUGCGGCUAGGGAUGGGCCCGCGGCCUAUCAGCUUGUUGGUGGGGUGAUGGCCUACCAAGGCGACGACGGGUAGCCGGCCUGAGAGGGCGACCGGCCACACUGGGACUGAGACACGGCCCAGACUCCUACGGGAGGCAGCAGUGGGGAAUCUUGCGCAAUGGCGAAAGCCUGACGCAGCGACGCCGCGUGAGGGAUGAAGGCC